rnacentral:rRNA from 1 species
GACGAACGCUGGCGGCGUGCUUAACACAUGCAAGUCGAACGGUGAAGCUCCAGCUUGCUGGAGUGGAUCAGUGGCGAACGGGUGAGUAACACGUGAGCAACCUGCCCCUGACUCUGGAAUAAGCGCUGGAAACGGCGUCUAAUACUGGAUACGAGAAGGGCCCGCAUGGGCACUUUCUGGAAAGUUUUUCGGUUGGGGAUGGGCUCGCGGCCUAUCAGCUUGUUGGUGAGGUAAUGGCUCACCAAGGCGACGACGGGUAGCCGGCCUGAGAGGGCGACCGGCCACACUGGGACUGAGACACGGCCCAGACUCCUACGGGAGGCAGCAGUGGGGAAUAUUGCACAAUGGGCGAAAGCCUGAUGCAGCGACGCCGCGUGAGGGAUGACGGCCUUCGGGUUGUAAACCCCUUUCAGCAGGGAAGAAGCGAAAGUGACGGUACCUGCAGAAGAAGCACCGGCUAACUACGUG